rnacentral:tRNA from 1 species
CGGGGCGUGGCGCAGCUUGGUAGCGCGCUUGGUUCGGGACCAAGAGGCCGCAGGUUCAAAUCCUGUCGCCCCGA